AAGCCAUGCGAGUCUUUGCAGUAAUGCAAGGCAUACGGCUCAGUAACACGUAGUCAACUUACCCUAUGGACGAGGAUAAUCUCGGGAAACUGAGCAUAAUACUCGAUAGAUCAUAAUGCCUGGAAUGGUUUAUGGUUAAAAUGAUCCGUCGCCAUAGGAUGGGACUGCGGCCUAUCAGCUUGUUGGUGAGGUAAUGGCCCACCAAGGCGAUUACAGGUACGGGCUCUGAGAGGAGAAGCCCGGAGAUGGGUACUGAGACAAGGACCCAGGCCCUAUGGGGCGCAGCAGGCGAGAAAACUUUGCAAUGUGCGAAAGCACGACAAGGUUAAUCCGAGUGAUUUCUGCUAAAGAAAUCUUUUGCAAGUCAUAAAACCACUAGUGAAUAAGGGGUGGGCAAGUUCUGGUGUCAGCCGCCGCGGUAAAACCAGCACCUCAAGUGGUCAGGAUGAUUAUUGGGCCUAAAGCAUCCGUAGCCGGCUUUGUAAGUUUUCGGUUAAAUCCAUGUGCCCAACGCAUGGGCUGCCGAAAAUACUGCAUAGCUAGGGAGUGGGAGAGGUAGACGGUACUCAGUAGGUAGGGGUAAAAUCCUUUGAUCUAUUGAUGACCACCUGUGGCGAAGGCGGUCUACCAGAACACGUUCGACGGUGAGGGAUGAAAGCUGGGGGAGCAAACCGGAUUAGAUACCCGGGUAGUCCCAGCUGUAAACGAUGCAGACUCGAUGAUGCAUUGGCAUAAUAGCCAGUGCAGUGUCGCAGGGAAGCCGUUAAGUCUGCCGCCUGGGAAGUACGUACGCAAGUAUGAAACUUAAAGGAAUUGGCGGGGGAGCACCACAAGGGGUGAAGCCUGCGGUUCAAU
rnacentral:rRNA from 1 species